AGUGAACGCUGGCGGUAGGCCUAACACAUGCAAGUCGAGCGGCAGCACAGUAAGAGCUUGCUCUUACGGGUGGCGAGUGGCGGACGGGUGAGGAAUACAUCGGAAUCUACUUUUUCGUGGGGGAUAACGUAGGGAAACUUACGCUGAUACCGCAUACGACCUACGGGUGAAAGCAGGGGAUCUUCGGACCUUGCGCGAUUGAAUGAGCCGAUGUCGGAUUAGCUAGUUGGCGGGGUAAAGGCCCACCAAGGCGACGAUCCGUAGCUGGUCUGAGAGGAUGAUCAGCCACACUGGAACUGAGACACGGUCCAGACUCCUACGGGAGGCAGCAGUGGGGAAUAUUGGACAAUGGGCGCAAGCCUGAUCCAGCCAUACCGCGUGGGUGAAGAAGGCCUUCGGGUUGUAAAGCCCUUUUGUUGGGAAAGAAAAGCAGCAGGUUAAUACCCCGCUGUUCUGACGGUACCCAAAGAAUAAGCACCGGCUAACUUCGUG
rnacentral:rRNA from 1 species